rnacentral:rRNA from 1 species
CUCAUAUUGAAACCUAGUGAAGUAUGAGUUAGUGGCGGAUGGGUGAGUAACGCGUGGAAAACCUGCCGUAUACUGGGGGAUAACACUUAGAAAUAGGUGCUAAUACCGCAUAAGCGCACAGCUUCGCAUGAAGCAGUGUGAAAAACUGAGGUGGUAUACGAUGGUUCCGCGUCUGAUUAGCUAGUUGGUGGGGUAAAAGCCUACCAAGGCAACGAUCAGUAGCCGGCCUGAGAGGGUGAACGGCCACAUUGGGACUGAGACACGGCCCAAACUCCUACGGGAGGCAGCAGUGGGGAAUAUUGCACAAUGGGGGAAACCCUGAUGCAGCGACGCCGCGUGAGUGAAGAAGUAUUUCGGUAUGUAAAGCUCUAUCAGCAGGGAAGAAAUACUGACCAUAGGGUCAGCAGACGGUACUUGACUAAGAAGCCCCGGCUAACUACGUGCCAGCAGCCGCGGUAAUACGUAGGGGGCAAGCGUUAUCCGGAUUUACUGGGUGUAAAGGGAGCGUAGACGGCAGCGCAAGUCUGAAGUGAAAUGCCAGGGCUUAACCCUGGAACUGCUUUGGAAACUGUGCAGCUAGAGUGCAGGAGAGGUAAGUGGAAUUUCUAGUGUAGCGGUGAAAUGCGUAGAUAUUAGGAGGAACACCAGUGGCGAAGGCGGCUUACUGGACUGUAACUGACGUUGAGGCUCGAAAGCGUGGGGAGCAAACAGGAUUAGAUACCCUGGUAGUCCACGCUGUAAACGAUGAUUACUAGGUGUUGGGGGACCAAGGUUCUUCGGUGCCGUCGCAAACGCAAUAAGUAAU